CCUACGUGAGGCAGCAGUGAGGAAUAUUGGUCAAUGGGCGCGAGCCUGAACCAGCCAAGUAGCGUGAAGGAUGACUGCCCUACGGGUUGUAAACUUCUUUUAUAAAGGAAUAAAGUGAGGCACGUGUGUCUUUUUGUAUGUACUUUAUGAAUAAGGAUCGGCUAACUCCGUGCCAGCAGCCGCGGUAAUACGGAGGAUCCGAGCGUUAUCCGGAUUUAUUGGGUUUAAAGGGAGCGUAGAUGGGUUGUUAAGUCAGUUGUGAAAGUUUGCGGCUCAACCGUAAAAUUGCAAUUGAUACUGGCAGUCUUGAGUACAGUUGAGGUAGGCGGAAUUCGUGGUGUAGCGGUGAAAUGCUUAGAUAUCACGAAGAACUCCGAUUGCGAAGGCAGCUUACUAAACUGCCACUGACAUUGAUGCUCGAAAGUGUGGGUAUCAAACAGGAUUAGAUACCCUAGUAGUC
rnacentral:rRNA from 1 species